UACGGAGGGUGCGAGCGUUAAUCGGAAUUACUGGGCGUAAAGCGUGCGUAGGCGGCUCGUUAAGUCAGAUGUGAAAGCCCUGGGCUUAACCUGGGAACUGCAUUUGAAACUGGCGAGCUCGAGUUGAGUAGAGGUAAGUGGAAUUUCAGGUGUAGCGGUGAAAUGCGUAGAUAUCUGAAGGAACACCAGUGGCGAAGGCGACUUACUGGACUCAAACUGACGCUGAGGUACGAAAGCGUGGGUAGCAAACAGG
rnacentral:rRNA from 1 species